rnacentral:lncRNA from 1 species
CAAGAGUAUACAAAAUAAUAAAGAAGUGACCCGAAAAGUGAAGGAUUAAUCCUUAGUGCAAUAACCUAAUCACUACAAUUAAUAACACAUCGCAGUGGAACUUUAAUCUAUGUGAACUCAAAUACAACUCUGUAGCUGGAAAUGAAGAAAGCACAAUACAUAUAUUUAUUUUUUUGUCCUGAUUGAUAAUCCUAAUUGUUCCGCACAUUUCUAAUAGCAUGAAUCCAUUGUCUGUACCUAGUCGGAUCAGAAGGGAACCGAUGAUUAGAAACUUGAUGGUUUUAUCCGUCUCGGUUGGCCAAUGACGCAGCUAGGAGCAAUACAUGUAUGAGCCUUCCUUUGUAGACACUUUAAAAAAGCAGACUGAAUUUUGUAGAAUUUGAUGCCUUGUAACUACUACGGCCUUCUGAAACGAAGCAUUGACCACAAUACUGAUGAAUUUCAACGCAACGACACCUACUUUGGACCAAUAAGAGUAGUCAACACAAUUCUUACGUUUUUACUGCAUACCUAAAUAUUUAGAAGUAUAUAAUUGUAA